rnacentral:tRNA from 1 species
GCCCGGGUGGCUCAGUCCGUUGAGCAUCUGACUCUUGGUUUCUGCUCAGGUCAUGAUCUCAGGGUUCGUGGGUUCGAGCCCCGCAUCGGGCU